rnacentral:rRNA from 1 species
UGAGAAUGCCGGAAUGAGUAGCGAGAAUUAUGUGAGAAUCAUAAUGGCCGAAAGACUAAGGUUUUAGAAGGAAGGUUCGUCCGCUUCUAGUUAGCCGGGAGCUAAGGCGAGGCCGAAAGGCGUAGUCGAUGCACAUACGGUUGAGAUUCCGUAGCCACCUUAAAUUUAAACUAAGGGACACAUUGAAAGGGAAUAACCCAGGCGUUGGUUGACCUGGGCGUAAGGGAACGAAAAUAAGUAGUGAAGUAUUCUUGGACAGUGGCGAGAAAAGCUUAGUGUAUAUUAUUAGGGUGCCCGUACUGCAAACCGACACAGGUAGUCAGGAAGAGAAUUCUAAGGCCAUCGGGAGAAGCGUUGUUAAGGAACUCGGCAAAUUGACCCCGUAACUUCGGAAUAAGGGGUGCUCACGAGAGUGAGCCGCAGUGAAUAGGUCCAGGCAACUGUUUAUCAAAAACACAGCUCUCUGCUAAAUCGUAAGAUGACGUAUAGGGGGUGACACCUGCCCGGUGCUGGAAGGUUAAGAGGAGGAGUGCAAGCCCCGAAUCGAAGCCCCAGUAAACGGCGGCCGUAACUAUAACGGUCCUAAGGUAGCGAAAUUCCUUGUCGGGUAAGUUCCGACCCGCACGAAUGGUGUAAUGAUCUGGACACUGUCUCAACAACGCACCCGGCGAAAUUGUAGUACCGGUGAAGAUGCCGGUUACCCGCGGCAAGACGGAAAGACCCCAUGGAGCUUUACUGUAACUUAAUAUUGGGUCUCGGUACUUUAUGUACAGGAUAGGCGGGAGACUUGGAAACUAGCACGCCAGUGUUAGCGGAGUCAUCCUUGGGAUACCGCUCUUAAGGUAUUGAGAUUCUAACCUGCAGCCUUGAAUCAGGUUGGGGGACAUUGUUAGGUGGGCAGUUUGACUGGGGCGGUCGCCUCCAAAAGAGUAACGGAGGCGUUCAAAGGUUGGCUCAGCAUGGACGGAAACCAUGCUUUAGAGUAUAAACGCAUAAGCCAGCCUAACUGCGAGACUGACGGGUCGAGCAGUAACGAAAGUUGGAGUUAGUGAUC